UAGACUGGUGCCUCAUGGCCCUCAAAAGUAUAUUGCUUAGCCCCUGUCGCAGCAUCCCACACCUUAAUAAGCCUGUCAUCCCCACAGGUUACAAUACAAAUCUGUUUGUUAGGGUAGGAAAAGGCAAGAUCGUUGACACUUCCUGAAUGAGCCUCAAUCUCAAGAUGGUUUCUAAGAUCAUCGCCACCGUGAUAUGAAUAGACAUGCACAAGGUGCUUAGAGAAUGCAACACCAAACAGAGUACCAUCAGGACUCCACAUUACACGGUUAACUGCUGCAGAGUACUCACUUGCCAUAGAUGCCUGAAGAGCCACUGAACAUUGUGAAAGAUCCCAAAUCUUGAAAUUUCUGUUAGCAAUCCUCUCCCUAGAACCCAAUUCCCAAAGCAUAACCUCUCCUGUGCCAGUACCAACAAGAAGCAAAAUCUGCUGCACCGGAUGAAAAUCCAUACUCUUGACUGAUGAACCCUGAUUUAGAGUCAUGACAAAAGCCUUGGGCAAAUCAUCUGAUGAGUAGGAACUUUGCGCAUGGCUUUGUCCGGAGUAUCCACCAGGCAAAAUAUUGAUAGGCAUAUUAUUUACUUCAUCUGAUACACCAAAAGGUCUUGAUCUCUUUAACAUGUGCUCCGAGUCAGCUGUUUGAUAGUCUACUGCUGAGUUAUUUGUAGGAGUCCUCGGACGUUUUAGCAUAGCUGCUGCUGCAUUAUUUGGAGUGGUA
rnacentral:misc_RNA from 1 species